rnacentral:rRNA from 1 species
AAAUUGAAGAGUUUGAUCAUGGCUCAGAUUGAACGCUGGCGGCAGGCCUAACACAUGCAAGUCGAACGGUAACAGGAAGCAGCUUGCUGCUUUGCUGACGAGUGGCGGACGGGUGAGUAAUGUCUGGGAAACUGCCUGAUGGAGGGGGAUAACUACUGGAAACGGUAGCUAAUACCGCAUAACGUCGCAAGACCAAAGAGGGGGACCU